CAGUGGCUGGAGUUCACACGGUUACUCUUCCCCCAUCCACCAAUUAUGUAACCCCAUUGCAGAAGGCAACCAGAUUUGUCAGGCGUGAUCUGCCCUUAGUGAAGCCACGUUGGCUGUCACCGAUCACCUCCUUAUUUUCCAUGUGUCUUAGCAUAGUUUCCAGGAGGAUCUGCUCCAUGAUCUUGUCAGGCACAGAGGUGA